AGAGUUAACACCCAAGAAUAUGCUACUUGCACUAAAGAAAUAGGCUGCAGGAAACUACAUAGAACAAAGACAUCAAAAAAGACAAUUGCAGUCAAGUUCCUUGUAGGAUAAUUGAGCAUUUGUCGGAGGACGGAAUUAUACGUUAAUGCUAGAAAAAUAAAGAAAUUAGUAAAAGUAAUUCCUGACCAUCUUGUUUGGCACUUUCUAAUUAAGAGGAUUUACUAGGAGAUUUCCUCUAGAAUCGAGAUUCUUAACUAAUAUUGACACUCCCAUAAUGAAGUUGACUAAGUAACUAAACUAUAUGGUCAGGAAGCACAAGCUUAAUGUACUUGUCUAAUUUCAAUAUAUAUAUAUAUAUAUCUUUCAUGCGAAAGUUGACCAACUUCUUGAUCAAUUGUUUUUGCUCACCAUCCAAGCCCCCCAUAUAGCCGAUACCGCUAGAGAAGAGCAAGAAUCAUACUUUUUCUACUUCGCUUGCCGGACAGGAAUUCUUUGAUUCAAGAUCCCCUUGCCUUUCGCCCUGCCCUGAAACUGGAGUUCAAGUAAUCAUCUACCUCUCUGGCAGCCAAAAAAGAAGAGACAUGAAUUCAUUGAACGAAAGAUUUAUCGCAAGUAAUUAAAAUUAGGUCGUACCUUAUUCUAUUCCCCCUAUCUUUAGUCAGGAAUAAUGGUCCGAUAAGAUGAACAACCCCAAUGCUGUAUUCCUAGUAUGUUUUAUCUGUUAACAACAGGCAACCAAGGGUUGAUAUAUAUAUAUAUAUAUGUACAUCCCAUCUAACUAAAACCAUUAAUCC
rnacentral:lncRNA from 1 species